rnacentral:lncRNA from 1 species
ACGGCACACCAUAACAUAUUUUCUUGUUGUUGGAAGUGUUGGAUGUUGUUAAACGGGAUUUUUGCAAAAUUGACCUACAAUUUAAAGUCAAACACAAAACUAACCUCCAUUUUUUUUGAAAAUUGGUUUUGCCCUAUUCAUCCCACAAGUUCAUAUAAUUUACAAAAAUACCAUCAAUUUUUUUUUAUUUUUUUUUCGAAAAUGACAUUUUUACUCUCUCACCCUCAUCAUCUUCAAGUAAUUACAAGAUUGUCAUUGUCAUCAAUACCACAACCACCAUGAACAACCAAUUUGAAGCUCUUAAUGCUCCCAAAAUCGAUUUACCCUUCUUCUUUUUCUAUUCUUGUGAACUAAACACAACAUAUCUCUCACUUUC